GACGAACGCUGGCGGCGUGCUUAACACAUGCAAGUCGAACGGAAAGGCCCUGCUUUUGUGGGGUGCUCGAGUGGCGAACGGGUGAGUAACACGUGAGUAACCUGCCCUUGACUUUGGGAUAACUUCAGGAAACUGGGGCUAAUACCGGAUAGGAGCUCCUGCUGCAUGGUGGGGGUUGGAAAGUUUCGGCGGUUGGGGAUGGACUCGCGGCUUAUCAGCUUGUUGGUGGGGUAGUGGCUUACCAAGGCUUUGACGGGUAGCCGGCCUGAGAGGGUGACCGGCCACAUUGGGACUGAGAUACGGCGCAGACUCCUACGGGAGGCAGCAGUGGGGAAUAUUGUACAAUGGGCGGAAGCCUGAUGCAGCAACGCCGCGUGCGGGAUGACGGCCUUCGGGUUGUAAACCGCUUUCGCCUGUGACGAAGCGUGAGUGACGGUAAUGGGUAAAGAAGCACCGGCUAACUACGUG
rnacentral:rRNA from 1 species